UCUUGGUCANUUAGAGGAAGUAAAAGUCGUAACAAGGUUUCCGUAGGUGAACCUGCGGAAGGAUCAUUAUUGAAUAAACUUGGUCGGGUUGCUGCUGGCCUCUCGGGGCAUGUGCACGCCUGCCGCCAUUUUUAACCACCUGUGCACCCUUUGUAGACCUGGAUAUCUCUCGAGGAAACUCGGUCUGAGGACUGCUGUGCGAAAGCCCAGCUUUCCUUGCAUUUCCGGUCUAUGUUUUUAUAUAACCCCACACGAAUGUACCAGAAUGACAUUAAAAUGGCCUUUGCGCCUUUAAAUCAAAUACAACUUUCAACAACGGAUCUCUUGGCUCUCGCAUCGAUGAAGAACGCAGCGAAAUGCGAUAAGUAAUGUGAAUUGCAGAAUUCAGUGAAUCAUCGAAUCUUUGAACGCACCUUGCGCUCCUUGGUAUUCCGAGGAGCAUGCCUGUUUGAGUGUCAUUAAAUUCUCAACCUUUCCAGCUUUUACCGGCAGGACAAGGCUUGGAUGUGGGGGCUGCGGGCUUCUCAGAAGUCGGCUCUCCUUAAAUGCAUUAGCAGAACCUUUGCUGACCAUCUUUGGUGUGAUAAUUAUCUACGCCGCUGGGAAGCAGCUUUAACAUGGGGUUUGGCUUCUAACCGUCCGUCACUGGACAACUCUUGACAUUUUGACCUCAAAUCAGGUAGGACUACCCGCUGAACUUAAGCAUAUCAAUAAGCGGAGGAAAAGAAACUAACAAGGAUUCCCCUAGUAACUGCGAGUGAAGCGGGAAAAGCUCAAAUUUAAAAUCUGGUGGUCCUUGCGGCCGUCCGAGUUGUAAUCUANAGAAGCGUUAUCCGCGCUGGACCGUGUA
rnacentral:rRNA from 1 species